rnacentral:rRNA from 1 species
UACGUAGGCAGCGAGCGUUGUUCGGAGUUACUGGGCGUAAAGGGUGUGUAGGCGGUUGUUUAAGUUUGGUGUGAAAUCUCCCGGCUCAACCGGGAGGGUGCGCCGAAUACUGAAUGACUAGAGUGCGGGAGAGGAGAGUGGAAUUCCUGGUGUAGCGGUGAAAUGCGUAGAUAUCGUAAGGAAGACCAGUGGCGAAGGCGAGUCUCUGGACAGCAACUGACGCUGAGGCACGAAGGCCAGGGGAGGCAAACGGG